GCACCAUGAUCGCCGCCGCUUUCCUCGUGCUGCUGAGACCCUACAGCAUCCAGUGCGCGCUCUUCCUCUUGUUGCUCCUGCUGGGCACCAUCGCCACCAUCGUCUUCUUCUGCUGCUGGCACCGCAAGCUCCAGAAAGGGAGGCAUCCGAUGCGAUCGGUCUUCUCGGGGCGCUCGAGGAGCCGAGAUGCUGUUCUGAGGUCUCACCACUUUCGUUCUGAGGGAUUCAGAGCCAGCCCUCGGCAUAUCAGAAGACGAGUUUUAGCGGCUACAGCUGCCCGCCUGGAAGAGGUGAAGCCCACAGAGGAGGCUUGUCACCAGAGUGAGCAGGAAGCUUCCGCCAGGAAGCGGAAGAUCAAGAAGAACAGCCGCGUCCAGCCUGAGUUUUAUCACUCUGUUCAAGGAUCUUCGGCCAGGAGCCCUGUAAGUAGAGAGGAGGUGUCUUUUGUUAGAUGUUACACACAUUGUCAAGUGGUAUGGUCGUUGUAUUGGCUCAGAAAGUUUUUCAGAUGAAAUUACCUUAAUUGCUGGGGAUGUGGCUCAGUGGUAAGAGCCCUUGCCUAGCAUGUGCGAGGCCCUGAGUUUGAUCCCCAGUACU
rnacentral:lncRNA from 1 species